rnacentral:misc_RNA from 1 species
GAUGAAGAACGUAGCGAAAUGCGAUAACUAAUGUGAAUUGCAGAAUUCAGUGAAUCAUCGAGUCUUUGAACGCACAUUGCGCCCCCUGGUAUUCCGGGGGGCAUGCCUGUCCGAGCGUCAUUGCUGCCCUCAAGCCCGGCUUGUGUGUUGGGCCCCGUCCCCCUCUCCGGGGGACGGGCCCGAAAGGCAGCGGCGGCACCGAGUCCGGUCCUCGAGCGUAUGGGGCUUUGUCACCCGCUCUGUAGGCCCGGCCGGCGCCAGCCGACAACCCAUCAUCCUUUUCAGGUUGACCUCGGAUCAGGUAGGGAUACCCGCUGAACUUAAGCAUAUCAAUAAGCGGAGGA